rnacentral:rRNA from 1 species
UACGAAGGGGGCUAGCGUUGUUCGGAUUUACUGGGCGUAAAGCGCACGUAGGCGGAUCGAUCAGUCAGGGGUGAAAUCCCAGAGCUCAACUCUGGAACUGCCUUUGAUACUGUCGAUCUGGAGUAUGGAAGAGGUAAGUGGAAUUCCGAGUGUAGAGGUGAAAUUCGUAGAUAUUCGCAAGAACACCAGUGGCGAAGGCGGCUCACUGGCCCGAUACUGACGCUGAGGCACGAAAGCGUGGGGAGCAAACAGG